rnacentral:rRNA from 1 species
AUUGAACGCUGGCGGAAUGCUUUACACGUGCAAGUCGAGCGGCAGCGCGGUCUUCGGACUGGCGGCGAGCGGCGAACGGGUGAGUAAUACAUCGGAACAUGCCCAGUCGUGGGGGAUAACACUUCGAAAGAAGUGCUAAUACCGCAUACGUCCUGAGGGAGAAAGCGGGGGAUCGCAAGACCUCGCGCGAUUGAAGUGGCGAAUGUCAGAUUAGCUAGUUGGUGGGGUAAAGGCCUACCAAGGCAACGAUCUGUAGCUGGUCUGAGAGGAUGAUCAGCCACACUGGGACUGAGACACGGCCCAGACUCCUACGGGAGGCAGCAGUGGGGAAUUUUGGACAAUGGGGGCAACCCUGAUCCGGCCAUUCCGCGUGAGUGAAGAAGGCCUUCGGGUUGUAAAGCUCUUUCGGCAGGAACGAAACGGCGAGCUCUAACAUAGCUCGCUAAUGACGGUACCUGAAGAAGAAGCACCGGCUAACUACGUGCCAGCAGCCGCGGUAACAC